rnacentral:rRNA from 1 species
UACGGAGGGGGCUAGCGUUGUUCGGAAUUACUGGGCGUAAAGCGCACGUAGGCGGCUUUGUAAGUUAGAGGUGAAAGCCCAGGGCUCAACCCUGGAACUGCCUUUAAGACUGCAUCGCUUGAACACGGGAGAGGUGAGUGGAAUUCCGAGUGUAGAGGUGAAAUUCGUAGAUAUUCGGAAGAACACCAGUGGCGAAGGCGACUCACUGGACCGUUGUUGACGCUGAGGUGCGAAAGCGUGGGGAGCAAACAGG